GAGUCAAGUCUUCGUGGAGAGAUGGCUGCUGAGCUGGGGCCUGAAGGAAGGAACCCAGCUUCAGUAAUGCUUCAGUGAGGCUGACAGAGCAAAGAUGAGGAAGGAACCUGGGUUCCUGAAUGACUUCAUGGAGUGGAUCACCCACCAAUGUGGACUAGAGAAUGAGAAAACUGCAGCUCAAAGGGGAGACGUGACUUGCCUCAAACCAGAGAAAGUAAAAGGCACAGACUUUUCCACCCCCAGAUAUUGGAGAGAAGAUUCCACAGUUGUGCAUCUUGGAGCUGGGUCACAUCUGGGCCCAUAGCUCUAUCCGAUGGUCUUUAUAAGCUAUCCAGCUAGCCUCCCUUUCUCUUCCCUUCUCCACCACACCAACCCUUGGCGUGUUUGCUCAAGUCCCAUAGACAGGCCCCUGCUUCUUUCUCAGUGGGGGACCUAGCAUCCCAUACUAGGAAAAAAGUCCCUCCAGGGGGCCUUCUUAGCAUCCACUCCCCUUCAGCCUAUAUCCAUCCUUUGUGCAGUGAAGCUGAGUAUAAAAUAAACAA